GGCGCACGCGGGGAGGCGGCGGCGACGGAGAUGGCAGGCUUGGCGGGGACUCCACCGCGGCUCCCGGGGGCUCCUGCAGCGCCAGCGGGAACUGCAGAGAGCCCGAGCCGCCCAGCAGGCUGUAGCACAGCCCAGGAGGAUUCCAGGUUGGCAUCCUAGAGACACCUGCACAGGAGUGUUUAUUCAGUCUGCUGUUCCCAACAGCCAAGAGGCAGAGCCAGCCCAGAUGUCCAUCAACAGAUGAAGAGCUAAAGAAAUCUGAUGGGUGAAAUUAUGUCAUUUCCAGGAAGAUGGGUGGAGCUGAAGGUCAUUAUGGGGUCAACUACUCGGAGCCUAGCACCCAUGAGUCUGCCGCCUUAAGGACGUUAUCAUUGCUGCAGCCAGAUUGCACCAACGAAGAACAUCAUGGAGGAGGUAGUGCAGGCAUUCGGUGGUUCCCACCUAAAACUCUUCACAACCCUUCCAGUCCUGUCCCACUGUCUGGAACAACCCAGAGACCCACCUGCCCACUGGCGGAUGAAUAGCCUAGCACAGUUGUGCACCGAGGACCAGGAGAAGCACCUGGGUUCACAUCAACAGCUCUCCCCUGAGCUGCAACUACAAACUUCAAACAGAGAAAUGAUACUAUCUCAUUCUGCAUCAGUCAGGGCUUUCUUGAAAAGAGCCAGGGUCGGGAGGUUGCGAGGGGAACAUAAAGAGACGCAUGGAGAAGGUGCCCAGCAGCCAUGGAGACUGACGGGUCUGAUAUCUACCCUGCACAGGUGAAGAUGCAGAAGUGUUCAUGAUGUAAUAUUUGGUCCAAAUCCAAAAGACCCGAGAACCAAGUGAGCUGAUGCUGUAGCUCCAGUCUAAAAGCAAGGAAAAAUCUCUCUCCGUGGGUGAGGAUCAGGCUCUCGUUCCUCUCAGGUGUCCUAUGGAUUGGAGACGUCUGCUCCUUUCUGCUUACUCAAUCUACUGACUCACAUGUCAGCCUCACCCUGCAGACAUCCUCACAGGCCAUCCAGUGUUCCACCAGGUAUCUGGAGACCGCAUAGCCAGGUCAAGCACAUACAUAAAUCACCCACCACACCUCUCAUAGGGAAUAAACUCUUCAGCUUGAAUCUCGCACAUCAGUGCAGCCUUCCCCUCACACAAUCUCUAAGUACACGCUUUCAAAGUCUACAUUAAUUGUUGCUGAAUCAAUAUCUUGAUAUUAGCUGGUUUUCCCCAAUAAAAUAAUCCGUAGUAUUUGCAGUAUUUGCAGUUUUUAACUUAAAUUCAACAAGUACAAUCGCUUGUUUAUAUUUUUUUUCUUUUCUUAUUUUUUCUUUGCUAGGCUUACCCUGGCUGGCCUCAACCUCAAGACUGGUCCUUUUGUCUCAGCCUCCCAAGCACUGGGAUCAAGCAUGUAUUUCCGAGCCCUCUCAAUCACUUGCUCCUCAGGCAUUCCACAUUCAAGUCUGUCAGUUAUUCGUUGGGACCCUUUAUGCCCUCUACGCUUGAGCUAAUUUAAUUUGACAUAAUUUAUAAACUAUAUUCUAGGACUCCAAUUAAAUAGCAUGCCUUUACAUAAAACAAGACUCUAUUGUUUUUCUGGGCCCAAGAAAAUUUCUAACCAUGAUUUGAUCAAAGCAAGCAAACAAAUAAACCAGAAACACUUUCAUAAGGAAAUAAACAUGUUCAGAAAUGUAAUUCUGUCUGCCAGUAAAUACCACAAUUAUAAGAUAGCUUCCUUUUUUAUUAUUUUUUGUUUUUGUAAUUACAAAGUAAAAUAUGAAUACAUAUUCUUAAGUUAAACAAAAAAAUAAAUCCAAGAUUACAGAUGUAAUUGGAGGCUUUUCUAUUAACAAAUAUUGAGUUUACAAAUUCUCAGAGAUAUAAUGAAAGCUACUCUUCAAAUUAAAAUUACAUCAGGUCUGCUGCUGACACAUAAAGUGGCCAUGUUUAACUGGGGCCUUGUGCCACUGCUCCUUUUACUGGAAUUUUAAGACAAUCCCUGGCUCUUAAGUCCAAAAGGCUAGGCCCAGCCACUGUCCCAGUACCCCAAUUAAAGAGACAAAUAAUGGGGGUAAAGAGAGCACUGGGGAUCUAUUCAGUUUGGCCAAAGCAGCACAGGUUGGCUGCAAACUGCUACCAAUUAACAUCUGACACCAGCAAAGGUCUUUUCAGCUAUAGAAUCCUUAACCCAGGCCCCUUAACAGAACUAAAGAAGACAAAAUUCAUUGAUUUGGAGAAAGUAAAUGUGCUUGAAAAUGUAUGAAUAAGGAGAAGAAUAGUCCAGCCUUUUCAUACCUCAAAGAAAUGGAGUCGCAAUUCAACUCUGCUCAGUGGAAAUGCAGUGGGGACCGCAAGUUUAAAUUGGUCCCAACUACUUGGAACCUAAAACCAUGAGGCCUCCCAGGCAUCUUCUCAGAACCUAAUCUGUUGUGGUAUGUAAACUCCUCCUCCCCAGAAGCGCUUAUUAACAGUUUUGUGUACCCCCUUUUUCUAUCAUGAAUA